UACUGUGAUCCCUCUCGUGCACGCCUGCUGCUCGCGAGUCCCAGUACAGUAAGCUGGGAACCGCCCACUGAGAGCCAAACACAGGAAAAGGCUUUUCCUGUGGAACGCCUUGAAGUGAGAAACACAUGGCUAAUCUGCAUAAACGCGAAGCCACACCGCCCCUGCCAGGAAGGUUAGUGCUCGUAAUCUCUGGCCAUGAAGCUGGCUGCCUGGGAGGACUUGGACUGGCGCCUGAUAACCCAGAAAGAGCCGAGAGAGAACAGAUGGGGACAGGCGGCAGCUGUUGAUCCAGUUCCCGUUCGGGACCCUCCCCUGUUGAGGAGCAUUCCAGGCGGGGACAAAUAUAAAAGUAUUUCGUGGCUUUGAAAAUUGUUCAAAAACCCUUACUCCGACGGAAGAGAAACUGCCCAGAAAUCUGUUUAGUUCUAUCCCCAGACUCUGCCUCCUAAAAUAAAGAGACUUCCUUCAUUUGGGUUUGCGUUUAAACAGGUUUCCUUACUGUUUAUGUGACCUAGGACAAUAAAACAUUCCUUAACUUCC